CGUAGUCGAAAGGGAAUGAGGUUAAUAUUCCUCAAGCUGGAUGUGGGUGUUGUAUGGCAACAUAAGUGAACUCGGAGACGUCAGCAUGAGCCUCUGGAAGAGUUAUCUUUUCUUUUUAACAGGUUAGUGACCUUGAAAUUGGAUUAACCAGAGCUAAGGUGGCAUGCCUGGAAGAGCACCUUGCUUUUUGAGGUGUCAGGUGCGCUCAUGAUGGCCCGUGAAAAUCCGAGUGAGAUAAUUUCACACCAGGUCGUACCCA
rnacentral:rRNA from 1 species